CGUGUUAACACAUGCAAGUCGAACGAUAACCUGGAGCUGCUCUAGGGAAUUAGUGGCGAACGGAGUGAGUACACGUGAGUAACCUGCCCUUGACUCUGGGAUAACCUCCGGAAACGGAAGCUAACCGGAUAUGACGCACGGAGGCAUCUCCUGUGCGUGGAAAGAACUUCGGUCAAGGAUGGACUCGCGGCCUAUCAGGUAGUUGGUGAGGUAACGGCCCACCAAGCCUACGACGGGUACCGGCCUGAGAGGGUGACCGGCCACACUGGGACUGAUACACGGCCAGACUCCUACGGGGGCAGCACGGUGGGGAAUAUUGCACAAUGGGCGAAAGCCUGAUGCAGCACGCCGCGUAGGGACGGCCUUCGGGUUGAACCUUUUUAUUAGGGAAGAAGCAAGUGACGGUACCUGUAAAAAGCACCGGCUAACUACGUGCCAGCAGCGGGGUAAUACGUAGGGUGCGAGCGUUGUCCGGAAUUAUUGGGCGUAAAGAGCUCGUAGGCGGUCUGUCGCGUCUGCGUGAGAAAACCAGGCUCAACCUCGGGCUUGCAGUGGAUACGGGCAGACUAGAGUCGGUAGGGGAGAAUGGAAUUCGGUGUGCGGUGGAAUGCGCAGAUAUCAGGAGGACCCCGAUGGCGAAUGCAGUUCUCUGGCCGUAACUGACACUGAGAUCGAAAGCGUGGGACGAACAGGAUUAGAUACCCUGGUAGUCCACGCCGUAACGUUGCGCUUAGAUGUGGGGACCAUUCCACGGUUUCCGUGUCGAGCUAACGCAUUAAUGCGCCCGCCUGGGGAGUACGGCGCAAGGCUAAACUCAAGAUUGACGGGGGCCCGCACACGCGAGAUGCGGAUUAAUUGAUCGCAACGCGAAGAACCUUACCAAGGCUUGACAUACACGAGAUACGGGCCAGAAAUGGUCAACUCUUUGGACACUCAGUGAACAGGUGGUGCAUGGUUGUCGUCAGCUCGUGUCAUGAGAUGUUGGGUUAAGUCCCGCAACGAGCGCAACCCCUGUGGUUAGUUGCCAGCACGUAAUGGUGGGAACUCAUAGGAGACUGCCGGGUCAACUGGAGGAGGUGGGGAUGACGUCAAAUAAUCAUGCCCCUUAUGUCUUGGGCUUCACGUAUGCUACAAUGCCGGUAACAAAGGGCUGCAAUACCGUAAGGUGGACGAAUCCCAAAAACCGGUCUCAGUUCGGAUUGAGGUCUGCAACUCGACCUCAUGAGUCGGAUCGUAGUAAUCGCAGAUCAAACGCUCGGUGAUACGUCCCGGCCUUGUCACACCGCCCGUCAAGUCAUGAAAGUCGGAACACCCGACGGGGCCAACCCUGGGCAGGACCUCGAGGGAUCGAUUAAACUAAGUCCA
rnacentral:rRNA from 1 species